UACGAAGGGGGCUAGCGUUGUUCGGAAUUACUGGGCGUAAAGCGCACGUAGGCGGAUAUUUAAGUCAAGGGUGAAAUCCCGGGGCUCAACCCCGGAACUGCCUUUGAUACUGGGUAUCUCGAGUCCGAGAGAGGUGAGUGGAAUUCCGAGUGUAGAGGUGAAAUUCGUAGAUAUUCGCAAGAACACCAGUGGCGAAGGCGGCUCACUGGCCCGGUACUGACGCUGAGGUGCGAAAGCGUGGGGAGCAAACAGG
rnacentral:rRNA from 1 species